rnacentral:lncRNA from 1 species
GCGUCCGGCGUCCGUCGUCGUCCGUCGUCGUUAACUUUUACAAAAAUCUUCUCCUCUGAAACUACUGGGCCAAAUUUAACCAAACUUGACCACAAUCAUCAUUGGGGUAUCUAGUUUAAAAAAUAUGUGGCGUGACCCGGCCAACCAACCAAGAUGGCCGCCACGGCUAAAAAUAGAACAUAGGGGUAAAAUGCAGUUUUUGGCUUAUAACUCUGAAACCAAAGCAUUUAGAGCAAAUCUGACGGGAUAAAAUUGUUUAUCAGGUCAAGAUCUAUCUGCCC